AGGCCUUGUAGCUCAGGUGGUUAGAGCGCACCCCUGAUAAGGGUGAGGUCGGUGGUUCAAGUCCACUCAGGCCUACCA
rnacentral:tRNA from 1 species